AUACUUACCUGGAUGGGGUCAAUGGGUGAUUAAGAAGGCUCAUGGCUUAGGUUGAUGACCUCCAUUGUAUUUUGGAGGGGUGCCCGCCUAAGGUCUACCCAAGUGGUGAAGUCCAUGUCAUAAUUUGUUGUAGUGGGGGCCUGCAUUUGUGCGGCCCAGU